rnacentral:misc_RNA from 1 species
GAAGGUGAGUCCCUACGCCUUUCUUAUUUAGAUAAUUAUGCUGCCUUAAAGGAUGAAAACAGGUCCCUAAGGGAACAAGUAGAUAGGGUAUCAGAUGAGAAUACCCAUCUAAGGGAGGAGUUGGAUAAGGUGCUUGGGAAGUUGAAAGAGGUUGAGCAACAAGUCUCCCUUGUUGCCAUUGCUAUAGUACAAGGAGGAGGGGCUAAUGCUUCGGGGGCUACCAUGGCUAUGCCCUCCCGUGUGGAAGUCCCUAAGCCUAGUAGCUUCAAAGGCUCUAGGGAUGCUAAGGAGAUAGACAACUUCCUUUGGAAUAUGGAGCAAUACUUCAGGGCGCUGGGCAUCACUGAUGAUGCCAGGAAGAUCGACCAUGCGCCCCUGUAUCUGGCGGACACCGCUACGGUGUGGUGGAGAAGAAGGCAAGCUGACAGGGAGAAAGGCUUGUGCAUCAUCAACACAUGGGAAGACUUCAAGAAGGAGCUGAAACGCCAAUUCUACCCAGAGAAUGUUGCUAAGGAGACUCGGGCUAGACUUCGGCGCUUGUCUCAGAAAGGGAGCAUAAGAGACUAUGUCAAAGAGUUUUCAGAGACACUCCUGGAGAUUCCAGAUUAUCCAGAUCAAGAGGCCUUCUAUACCUUCCUUGAUGGUUUACAGCACUGGGCCAAGAUGGAAGUGGAGAGGCGAGGAGCCGACAACCUUGCUUCAGCCAUUGCUAUAGCUGAGUCCUUGACAGAGUACAAGAGGAAUGACAAGGACAAGGAGAAGAACAAGGGCAGGGGCAAGCCAUACAAGGAAAAGAGUGGGGGAGACUCCUCACACAACUCUCGCCCCACACACAACAAGGAAGGAGGGUCCAAGAAGUUCAAAGAGCACAAGAAGCAGGAGGGACCUUCUAAAGGCCAACACUUCAGGAGGCAUGGAGACAGGCCACCAAUUAAAUGCUUCCUAUGUGAGGGACCACACCGAGCUUGGGACUGUCCAAAGAAGGCUGGACUGACCGCACUAGUGGAGCAAGCAAGUGCCAGUCCUCAACCAAAGGAAGGUGCCAGCAUGGGAUCGCUACAGCUUGCAGCAAUUCAAGCAAAGCCGAAGGAGGCCACAAAGGAGAAGAUGGGACGCCUCUUCGUGCAAGCAUCUCUUGGAGGGAAAGAGGUAAGAGCUCUAGUCGAUACUGGUGCUUCUGACAAUUUUCUUAAGUUUGAGGAAGCGCAGCGGUUGGGGAUCCGCUACACACCAGAAAUGGGUUGGCUUAAAGCUGUCAACUCCAACCCAAGUCCAAUCCAUGGAGUAGCUCGUGAUGUGCCGGUUAAACUAGGUGAGUGGCACGGCAACUUGGACUUUUCUAUUGUCUCUAUGGAUGAUUAUUCUUGUGUUCUUGGUGUGGCUUUCAUGGAUAAAGUCAAGGCUAUCCCUAUCCCCUUUGCAAAUAGUAUGUGCAUCUUAAAUGAGGGAGGCACUUGUACUGUCCCGCUAUCGAGGGGAAAAGCGGGGAAUGCCACCCUUUCAGCUAUGCAGAUUGCAAAAGGGAUCAGGCAUGAUGAGCCUACUUACUUGGUGGCUUUGAAACAUGAUGAGGAGCCGCCAAAGCCUAUCUUACCAAAGGAGAUUGAAGCUGUCUUGGAUGAAUUCCAUGAUGUUAUGCCACAAGAGUUGCCAAGAAGACUUCCUCCAAAAAGGGAAGUUGAUCACCAUAUCGAACUAGAGCCUGGAGCUAAACCCCCUUCGGGUGUUCCUUAUCGAAUGGCUCCACCCGAGCUAGAGGAGCUGAGGAAGCAAUUGAGGGAGCUUCUUGAUGCAGGCUUUAUUCAACCCUCAAAAGCCCCAUAUGGUGCGCCGGUUCUCUUUCAGAAGAAGAAGGAUGGUUCUCUUCGGAUGUGCAUUGAUUACCGGGCCUUAAAUAAGGUAACGGUAAAGAACAAAUAUCCCAUCCCACUUAUUGCUGAUCUGUUUGAUCGACUGGGGGAGGCACGGUGGUUCUCUAAAUUGGAUCUUCGGUCGGGUUAUUAUCAAGUCAGAAUUGCUGAAGGAGAUGAACCGAAGACCACUUGCGUCACUAGGUAUGGUUCUUAUGAAUUCUUGGUGAUGCCUUUUGGUUUAACUAAUGCACCUGCUACUUUCUGUACUUUGAUGAACAAGGUCUUCCAUGAGUUCUUGGAUCGUUUUGUUGUGGUUUAUCUUGAUGAUAUAGUAGUAUAUAGCAAGACGCUCCAGGAGCAUAUGGAGCAUUUGAAGCAGGUAUUCCAGGUGCUUCGGGAGAACCAGCUGUAUGUUAAAAGGGAGAAGUGCACAUUUGCUCAGCAGGAGGUGCCUUUCCUUGGUCAUAUUAUCGGGCAUGGCAGGAUUCGCAUGGAUGAGUCUAAAGUGAAGGCCAUUGCUGAAUGGGAACCUCCUAAAAAGGUACCCGAAUUGCGGUCUUUCCUUGGUUUGGCUAACUAUUACCGCAAGUUCAUCAAGGGUUAUUCCUCUAUUGCAACACCCUUGACGGAUCUUCUGAAGAAGGAGAGGCCCUGGGAUUGGGAUUCUCGGUGUCAAAGGGCCUUUGAUGCUUUGAAGAAGGCCAUUAUGGAGGAGCCAGUUCUUGCACUUCCGGAUCACUCCAAGGAGUUUGAAGUGCACACCGACGCAUCUGAUUUUGCUAUAGGGGGAGUUCUCAUGCAGGAAAGACACCCCAUCGCUUAUGAAAGCCGCAAGUUGAAUGAGACAGAGCGGCGUUAUACUGUGCAGGAGAAGGAGAUGACUGCAGUGGUCCAUUGCCUGAGGACAUGGAGGCAUUAUCUGUUGGGGUCUAAGUUCGUGGUGAAGACAGAUAAUGUGGCCACUAGUUACUUCUUGACUCAGAAGAAGUUGUCUCCUAAGCAGGCCCGAUGGCAGGUUUUCUUGGCAGAUUUCGACUUCACCAUGGAGUAUAAGCCAGGGCGUGCUAAUCUUGUGGCUGAUGCUUUGAGUCGCAAAGCAGAGUUGGCAGCCACGUCCCAGCCUAAUCUAGCACUUCUUGAUCGCAUCAGAGAGGGGAUGCAGCAAGACCCUCAAGCUAAAUGUCUCAUGGAGAUGAUCAGCCAGGGGAAGACUCGGAGAUUCUGGCUGGAUGGUGGUCUAGUACGCACCAAGAGGGGGAGUGUGUACAUCCCUAAAUGGGGAAGCUUGAGGAGGGAGGUCUUGAAGGAGUGCCAUGAUUCUUUAUGGGCUGGACAUCCUGGUGCUAGGCGCACUAUGGCACUAGUGGAACGUGCCUACUAUUGGCCGCGGAUGGUGGAUGACAUAGAGCUGUAUGUGAAGACUUGUCUUGUCUGCCAGCAGGACAAGGGAGAGCAGCGAAAGCCUGGAGGAUUGCUUGAACCAUUGCCCACUCCAGAGAGGCCAUGGGAGAGUGUGUCUAUGGACUUCAUUAUUGGCCUACCUACUGUGGAAGGGUGCGGCAAUAUCAUGGUGAUUGUUGAUCGGUUCAGCAAAUAUGGGGUCUUUGUCCCAGUCCCGAAGAGGUUUGAUGCAAGGGACGCAGCCAGGCUAUUCUUCAAGCAUGUGGUCAAGUACUGGGGAGUGCCUUGUUCUAUAGUCAGUGAUCGAGACACCAGGUUUGUUGGGAGAUUCUGGACUGAACUCUUUAAAAUGCUUGGCACUGAGCUCCAGUUUUCUACUAGCUUCCAUCCGCAGACUGAUGGCCAGACAGAGAGGAUUAAUGCGCUGUUGGAGCUAUACUUGAGGCAUUAUGUGACAGCUAACCAGCGGAACUGGGUUGAAUUGCUGGAUGCAGCGCAGUUCUCUUAUAAUUUGCAGAGGAGCGAAGCCACGGGAGCUACACCAUUUGAGUUAGCCACUGGACAGCAGCCAUUGGCUCCCCACACUAUUGGGACGCCUUAUCAAGGUAAGAGUCCAGGAGCCUUCAGAUUUGCUAAGGGCUGGAAGGAGAAACUUGACGAGGCACGGGCAUCUUUGGCUAAAGCAGCAAAGAAAAUGAAGAAAUGGGCUGAUGUGAAGAGGCGGCAUGUGGAGUUCCAAGAGGGAGAUCUUGUGAUGGUCAAGAUCAUUGCUCACACGGUUCGCAACUAUCACAAGGUGCAUAAGGGCUUGCUUCGCAAGUAUGAGGGACCAUUCCCUAUUGAGAAGAGGGUUGGCAAGCAGGCCUAUAGAGUAAAGCUGCCUGCUCACUUGGAGGUGCAUCCAGUAUUCCACGUGAGCCUGCUAAAGCCCUACCAUCCUGAUAAGGAGGACCCGAGCCGCAACCAGUCAAAGAGGGCCCCUACAGCAGUCACAACCACCUUUGAGCGGGACGUUGAGGAGAUACUUGCUCACAGGGAGGUACCGCAGAGAGGCAUUCAUCCUGGGUAUAAGGAGUACUUGGUGAAGUGGAAAGAUGCCUCAGAUGAUGAAGCUAGCUGGGAGCAUGAGCUGUCCCUUUGGCAACAUGAAGACAAGGUGCUAGCUUACUGGCAAGACGCGACGAGGGCGUCGCGGGGAUGAGUGGGGGAGAAUGUGACACCCUCACAGUUGAGCUCCCAAAAGUCCAAUUUUUUUUCCGCGAGGUUAUCCGUAGAGUGAGGUUCGACGGGUGUAAAUCCUUGUGGGGCAAGAGGGAGGUACGUGUUGAUGGCAGGCAACACGGGCGGAAAUGGAAUUUUUAGCCAAACAGGCCUACCGGGCGAGCUGGGGAGCAACUGGGUGCUGUUGGAGCAAAUGAGGUUAAGUCUGCGAGCCAGGGCCCAAAAUGAGGUUCACUGCUGGCAUCGGGCGUGCUGGGCCGAGGGGCGCCCCAAAACGAGGUUCAGGAGGCCUA